rnacentral:rRNA from 1 species
UGCCAGCAGCCGCGGUAAUACGGAGGGGGCAAGCGUUGCUCGGAAUUACUGGGCGUAAAGCGAGCGUAGGCGGUUUAUCAAGUUGGUGGUGAAAGCCCGGAGCUUAACUCCGGAACUGCCAUCAAAACUGAUUUACUAGAGAUUGGUAGAGGAAAAUGGAAUUCCUAGUGUAGAGGUGAAAUUCGUAGAUAUUGGGAAGAACACCAGUGGCGAAGGCGAUUUUCUGGGCCAAUUCUGACGCUGAGGUUCGAAAGCGUGGGUAGCAAACAGGAUUAGAUA